UACGGGGGGGGCAAGCGUUGUUCGGAAUUAUUGGGCGUAAAGGGCGCGUAGGUGGCCAACUAAGUCAGACGUGAAAUCCCUCGGCUUAACCGGGGAACUGCGUCUGAUACUGGAUGGCUUGAGUUUGGGAGAGGGAUGCGGAAUUCCAGGUGUAGCGGUGAAAUGCGUAGAUAUCUGGAGGAACACCGGUGGCGAAGGCGGCAUCCUGGACCAACACUGACACUGAGGAGCGAAAGCCAGGGGAGCAAACGGG
rnacentral:rRNA from 1 species